rnacentral:rRNA from 1 species
UACGUAGGGGGCGAGCGUUGCCCGGAUUCAUUGGGCGUAAAGCGCUUUAAGGCGGUUCGCUAAGUCGCGUGUGAAACCUCCAGGCUCAACCUGGAGACGCCACGCGAUACUGGCGUGACUAGAGUUCGGUAGGGGAUCACGGAAUUCCUGGUGUAGCGGUGAAAUGCGCAGAUAUCAGGAGGAACACCGGUGGCGAAGGCGGUGAUCUGGGCCGACACUGACGCUGUAGAGCGAAAGCGUGGGGAGCGAACAGG